GCAUGUGCGGAGACUGGCUUUUCCCAUUGGCUAACCGCGCAUCCGUCACGUGGGUCAAAGGGUCUCCCUCCCCCGCGAAGGCUUCCGCUGCCGAGGGAUAGACCAAUGGAAAUACCUGGAGGACCGGAAGGACUCUGGUCCUCCAGCCACUCAGAGCGCGGGCAUUGUGUUAAUGAAGCUUGCGCUUCACACAGACUAAAACUUCCUCCUGUGUCCAACAUCUGGUUCAGAGGCAAAUUAUGUAAACAUCUCCAAGAGAAAGCUAUCGACUUAUUCAUCUUGUCUACACUUCCCUGAAUUUCACUAGAAUCUACAUGGUUACCAGAUUGAUCUGUUCCAUUCAACUACACCCAAGGGACUGUUCUCCUUGGAGCAAAGGAGGUUGCGGGGAGAUUUGAUAGAGGUGGACAAGAUUAUGACAGGUUUACAUCAGCUGGGCAAAGAAAAGCUGUUCCUGCCAAGGACAAGGGAACACAGGUUGAAGGUUUUAAGUGAGAGAUGUGGGGGGGAUGUGAAGAAGAAGUUUUUUUUACACAGCAAGUGAGAAUGACCUGGAACUCGCUGCCUAUGAGACGGUGCAAUCAGAGAUGAUGAACGAUUUCAAAAGAAAAUUGGAUGGGCACUUGAAGGCAAUAA